AUUGAACGCUGGCGGCAGGCUUAACACAUGCAAGUCGAGCGGAGAUGAGGUGCUUGCACCUUAUCUUAGCGGCGGACGGGUGAGUAAUGCUUAGGAAUCUGCCUAUUAGUGGGGGACAACAUUCCGAAAGGAAUGCUAAUACCGCAUACGUCCUACGGGAGAAAACAGGGGAUCUUCGGACCUCGCGCUAAUAGAUGAGCCUAAGUCGGAUUAGCUAGUUGGUGGGGUAAAGGCCUACCAAGGCGACGAUCUGUAGCGGGUCUGAGAGGAUGGUCCGCCACACUGGGACUGAGACACGGCCCAGACUCCUACGGGAGGCAGCAGUGGGGAAUAUUGGACAAUGGGGGGAACCCUGAUCCAGCCAUGCCGCGUGUGUGAAGAAGGCCUUAUGGUUGUAAAGCACUUUAAGCGAGGAGGAGGCUACUGAGACUAAUACUCUUGGAUAGUGGACGUUACUCGCAGAAUAAGCACCGGCUAACUCUGUGCCAGCCGCCGCCGUAAUAC
rnacentral:rRNA from 1 species